UAUGCAUACCUUUUUGUAUCGUACCAUAUGAAUAAGGAUCGGCUAACUCCGUGCCAGCAGCCGCGGUAAUACGGAGGAUCCGAGCGUUAUCCGGAUUUAUUGGGUUUAAAGGGAGCGUAGGUGGAUUGAUAAGUCAGUUGUGAAAGUUUGCGGCUCAACCGUAAAAUUGCAAUUGAUACUGUCAGUCUUGAGUACAGUAGAGGUGGGCGGAAUUCGUGGUGUAGCGGUGAAAUGCUUAGAUAUCACGAAGAACUCCGAUUGCGAAGGCNGCUCACUAGCCUGCAACUGACACUGAGGCUCGAAAGUGUGGGUAUCAAACAGGAUUAGAUACCCUGGUAGUCNACNCAGUAAACGAUGAAUACUCGCUGUUUGCGAUAUNCAGUAAGCGGCCANNCGAAAGCAUUAAGUAUUCCACCUGGGGGAGUACGCCGGCAACGGNG
rnacentral:rRNA from 1 species